AUUCGAAACAAAAAAAGGCUCUUUUGUAAUUUUUCUCUUGAUUAGAUCGCUCAGUUUUCCUCGGGAUGUUUGUAAACGGUCGCUGAGCAGUAAUCGUUCAACGUAAAGUUAUGAGGCGGUCAUUGUUGGGUAUCAUUAUUCUCGGAGUGGCUGCGACUAAUAUACGUGUGAGUUAAUAUUAGUAAUGAUACGUGCCUGAUUAUAACCUAGUCGUGUAUUUACCUACCUUCUGCUCUAUUUUUUUUUUUCACAAUAAUGUUUACUUAAGAGAAUUUGAUUCAGGCGAUGGAAGACGACGAAAUAAUUUUUCAUUUAUGUAGCACAAAAAAAUCAAAAAGGGAGAUCCUAGAUAAUGAUCACAUUAGAAAGGAAAAGGUUGUAUUUGUUCAGCUCUACAAUAUAUGGAAGACGGGAUGCAUGUCCCGAAAUAAGCUUGUGAGACCUCGAAAGUAGAUGGAAACAUAACAUCACAGCUUUAAUUGUUUAUCAAUGUUACCUGAGGUGGAUCAAACGGGAGGGAGGGAGACAGGACAAAGGGGUAUUGAAAUGCAGAGAACUAAACGAACGUGGAGGUAGCAUGCCAAUACUCUUAGGAUAUCAGACGCUGCUGUUAAAAAUAAAGCUUUGAAUUUAAAUACCUAAGGAACGAGAUGGUGAGGGAAAGGAAGCAGUAAGCACUGACAACAGUUAGAGCAAGCUGUUAAACCUGGAAUGGAAUAGAGACCACUGGCGGAAUCUCCUGGAUGACCUAUGCUUCUUAAUGGAAAGAAGGCAAUGUAGGUAUGUAGCUACUUGGCUGAGGAAAAUUUUGCCUCUUCUUCCAAAAACUGGAUGGUGUUGUCUCUUGGAAUACUUAUUGGCUACUCAUGAAGUGACAAUUUCGUUCACACCUAAAGGCACGAAUCCAUUACGUUGGUGCUCCAUGCUCCGUCAACUGCUCCACAUUGUAACGGGUACGAAAGUCACCAACGUUUUCGAAACCCUAAUAUUAUUUUUGUUCCACCCUAUAUGCAUAAAUCCGUUUCAGGAAUUGUACCGGGUAUUGCGUGGAAUUGGAUCAUUUGUGAUUCUUUUUCGUUUCUCAUAAUAUUGGAUCGAUCAUCGGAUAUUGUGUUGUUUAUCUAACUUUUCUCAGGGGAUUUGACGUAGGUAAGUACCUCUACCUCGAGUUGUUUAUUAUAAGUACUGAGAAUAGCGGUUUUAAUUCAAAGAAGUUUAAUGAUUUUUCGAGACGAGAGUCUGAAUUUUUGUGGAUAAGUGGUACUCAUUAAGCUCAGAUUAUUGCCGCUACCGACUUUGAGACUGUUGGAAAUGUUUAUCUUAUAACGAUAAGAGUUCUGAGAGUGUUCAGGGAGGCCAGAUAUUAUUUGAGCCGAUUCAGCUAUUAUCAUGGGAAAAAGUUCUGUCCAAGGUGACGCUAAACCCAUGAGUUGGUAAAUCUUUGAUUGGCUGAGAAAUAUCGAUGGCGUAGUAAAAGAAGAUUUGCAAGUUUAGAGGGUGUGGCUAAAAAUAUUUUUAAGUGACUUCUUAUUUGUCAAGAAGCUAAUUAAGAAAGUGCGAAAGUGUCUUAAGUCUGUAAUUGGUCGUUGAGAUUAUUGAUGGGAAGAUCGAAUGAUUUUUCUGGAAGGGGCGUUUGGUUUCGGAAGAUUGAGUUGGAGGAGAUCGAUAUAGUCAGUUACGGUUGGGCUGUGAAGAGUCACGUUUGAGCUGUAGAGCAGUCAAGUUUUGGAGUCGAGAGUCCUGGACUCAUCAAGUGAAGUUUAAAAUGUAGUUGCAAGUUCUUCGGCCGGCUAGUAGCUUAGCUCUGCCGGGCAUACAUGGCGGUUUACAACUUGAAUUCCGGCAUUCUCGCUACUGUUAGGCGGAUGUCGAUGUUCACUAUUGAUAUAAUUUUUCUUACAUGCAAGCAGGAGUUAAAAGUUUUCCUUUGUGUUACUAGUUUCAACAUCAUAGUUAAAGCAUGAAGUUGCUUUUAUUUUAUCUUUUUUGAUCCCGUUUAAUAUACGAAAGGACUAUUAAAUAUUUUUGUUCGAGUAUUGCCGAUUUGUUUUAAGAAAUGCUGAAUUUUUCUAUGAAAUAUGGAAACAACCAUUCACUGAUGUACUGUUAUUGGAUCUAUUCAUAUUAUGUAAAGUAACAUUUAGUGAAGUGAAUUGUGCUUUGGACUUAAAACCAACCAAGAAGAUACAGGACUAAUAUACAAGGUAUUAUUUUUUAUGUAAACUUUUCAUUUUCUUUUUGUUAAGCAUAAUCUCUUUAUGUAAAAUCGCGAGGCAUCACAGAUGUUUUUAAUUUUGUUUCAAUAAAUAAUGUUUGAUUU
rnacentral:lncRNA from 1 species